rnacentral:rRNA from 1 species
GACUGNCGGUGACAAACCGGAGGAAGGUGGGGAUGACGUCAAGUCCUCAUGGCCNUUACGNCCAGGGCUACACACGUGCUACAAUGGCUGAUACAAAGGGUUGCGAUACCGCNANGUGGAGCUAAUCCCAUAAAAUCGNNCCNAGUUCGGAUUGGAGUCUGCAACUCGACUCCUUGAAGGCGGAAUCGCUAGUAAUCGCGAAUCAGAAUGUCGCGGUGAAUACGUUCCCGGGCCUUGUACACA